GACGAACCGAGCGAACGUUGUUCGGAAUCACUGGGCUUAAAGGGCGCGUAGGCGGGCUGUCAAGUCUGGGGUGAAAUCCCGCGGCUCAACCGUGGAACUGCCUUAGAUACUGUCGGGCUCGAGUCCGGAAGAGGCGAGUGGAAUUCCUGGUGUAGCGGUGAAAUGCGCAGAUAUCAGGAGGAACACCAAUGGCGAAGGCAGCUCGCUGGGACGUGACUGACGCUGAGACGCGAAAGCGUGGGGAGCAAACAGG
rnacentral:rRNA from 1 species